rnacentral:tRNA from 1 species
UAUACGUUGGUGUAAAGCGCAUAAAAAGUUUUGAUCUUUGAGGAAGUGGUGCAAUCCCAUUACGUUUAA